rnacentral:rRNA from 1 species
GACGAACGCUGGCGGCGUGCUUAACACAUGCAAGUCGAACGGAAAGGCCCUGCUUUUGUGGGGUGCUCGAGUGGCGAACGGGUGAGUAACACGUGAGUAACCUGCCCUUGACUUUGGGAUAACUUCAGGAAACUGGGGCUAAUACCGGAUAGGAGCUCCUGCUGCAUGGUGGGGGUUGGAAAGUUUCGGCGGUUGGGGAUGGACUCGCGGCUUAUCAGCUUGUUGGGGGGGUAGUGGCUUACCAAGGCUUUGACGGGUAGCCGGCCUGGGAGGGGGACCGGCCACAUUGGGCCUGCGAUACGGCCCAGACUCCUACGGGAGGCAGCAGUGGGGAAUAUUGCACAAUGGGCGGAAGCCUGAUGCAGCAACGCCGCGUGCGGGAUGACGGCCUUCGGGUUGUAAACCGCUUUCGCCUGUGACGAAGCGUGAGUGACGGUAAUGGGUAAAGAAGCACCGGCUAACUACGUG